rnacentral:ncRNA from 1 species
AGGGGGGGAGGGAAAAAGAAAACAGUUCAGCAAUUAAGUUCAUUUUUUUUUUAUUGGAAAAUUGGAAAGGCAGGGUUUGGGGGGUCAAUUUUUUUUAGUAUGGGAAAUUUAAUGUUUUAAUUCCUUUUUAAAUGAGGGCCUUUACCCCUUAGAGGGAGCCGGGCCCGUUAUAACGUUAAUGAUUACUAGAUGAGGUUUCCAAAGAGUUGUGUUGCUUGAUAGUGCAGCACUUAAGUGGGUGGUAAACUCCAUUUAAAACUAAAUAUAACCAUGAGACCGAUAGUAAACAAGUACCGUGAGGGAAAGUUGAAAAGAACUCUGAAUAGAGAGUUAAACAGUACGUGAAACUGCUUAGAGGUUAAGCCCGAUGAACCUGAAUAUCCGUUAUGGAAAAUUCAUCAUUAAAAUUGUAAUAUUUAAAUAAUAUUAUUAAGAAUAAUGUGCAUUUUUUCCAUAUAAGGACAUUGUAAUCUAUUAGCAUAUCCCAAAUUUAUCAUAAAAUAUAACUUAUAGUUUAUUCCAAUUAAAUUGCUUGCAUUUUAACACAGAAUAAAUGUUAUUAAUUUGAUAAAGUGCUGAUAGAUUUAUAUUAUUACAGAGCGUUAAUUUUUCGGAAUUAUAUAAUGGCAUAAUUAUCAUUGAUUUUUGUGUUUAUUAUAUGCUCUUGUAUGAUUAACAAUGCGAAAGAUUCAGGAUACCUUCGGGACCCGUCUUGAAACACGGACCAAGGAGUCUAACAUAUGUGCAAGUUAUUGGGAUGUAAACCUAAUAGCGUAAUUAACUUGACUAAUAAUGGGAUUAGUUUUUUAGCUAUUUAUAGCUAAUUAACACAAUCCCGGGGCGUUCUAUAUAGUUAUGUAUAAUGUAUAUUUAUAUUAUUUAUGCCUCUAACUGGAACGUACCUUGAGCAUAUAUGCUGUGACCCGAAAGAUGGUGAACUAUACUUGAUCAGGUUGAAGUCAGGGGAAACCCUGAUGGAAGACCGAAACAGUUCUGACGUGCAAAUCGAUUGUCAGAAUUGAGUAUAGGGGCGAAAGACCAAUCGAACCAUGUAGUAGCUGGUUCCUUCCGAAGUUUCCCUCAGGAUAGAUGGUGCAUUUUAAUAUUAUAUAAAAUAAUCUUAUCUGGUAAAGCGAAUUCCACC